rnacentral:lncRNA from 7 species
CGCAAGCGAAGAGUGAAAACGGUGCUCGGGUUCUAGCGAUUACGAGGGUAAGGACCUCACCUUGAAUUGGGGCGUCAGCGGCUUUGCCCACGCAGUGGCGGGGAUCCACGGCGGCGCCAGGCUUCGACGAGCCAUUUCCCGAGCUCCGUCCGUCCAUUCAUCAAAUUGGCGGUCGAGAUAGCUUCCCCAUGACCAGGCGAUACCUCGCACCUACUUCAUGGUCCCCGGCCGCCGAUAGAUGCGAGGAACGACACUGGUGGUGGGUUUCCUCCACACAACACCGGUGAUGGUGCCAGGCCGACGCAAGAUGGAUGGAGGAAGGGCCACGGAGUAUGGGUUUAUAGACCGCGGCGGAGUCUGACCUGAAGAUCAAUAUCAGCGGAAUCCACAGGGUUUGUUACGCGCCACCGUUCGCGUUGGGUGCGGAGUUCGGGUGUGAGGGACGAUUAUGACAGUGCGGACCCACCAACAAGUGAUCGAGUAAGGUUUGGGGAGGCUGGCAUGCAGGCCACAUGGGUUGGCAGUAGCGGCGCGGUAGACUUCUGGGCCGCGCGAAAUAGAAAAGGGUGUGGGCCGCGCGGGAUAAGCUGGGCCGGGGUAAUUCGGCCCAAGUAGCUAAGCAGAAGCCCCAUCUCUUGUCUAUUUCUUAUUUUA